AUGCAAAGAUGAUAGCGAUCCAACUCUGAUUUUUAAUAUGAAGUCUAUUUGAUAUCGAGCUUUUUAACACUGAGCAUU